GAGUUUGAUCUUGGGCUCAGAACGAACGCUGGCGGCAUGCCUAACACAUGCAAGUCGAACGAGAUCUUCGGAUCUAGUGGCGCACGGGUGCGUAACGCGUGGGAAUCUGCCCUUGGGUGCGGAAUAACUUCUCGAAAGGGAUGCUAAUACCGCAUAGUGUCGUAAGACCAAAGAUUUAUCGCCCAAGGAUGAGCCCGCGUAAGAUUAGCUAGUUGGUGGGGUAAAAGCCUACCAAGGCGACGAUCUUUAGCUGGUCUGAGAGGAUGAUCAGCCACACUGGGACUGAGACACGGCCCAGACUCCUACGGGAGGCAGGCAGUGGGGAAUAUUGGACAAUGGGCGAAAGCCUGAUCCAGCAAUGCCGCGUGAGUGAUGAAGGCCCUAGGGUUGUAAAGCUCUUUUACCCGGGAUGAUAAUGACAGUACCGGGAGAAUAAGCUCCGGCUAACUCCGUGCCAGCCGCCGCAGUAAC
rnacentral:rRNA from 1 species